rnacentral:rRNA from 1 species
UACGGAGGGGGCUAGCGUUGUUCGGAAUUACUGGGCGUAAAGCGCACGUAGGCGGCUUUGUAAGUUAGAGGUGAAAGCCCAGGGCUUAACCCUGGAAUUGCCUUUAAGACUGCAUCGCUAGAAUCGUGGAGAGGUGAGUGGAAUUCCGAGUGUAGAGGUGAAAUUCGUAGAUAUUCGGAAGAACACCAGUGGCGAAGGCGGUCACUGGCUGGCCACGU